CGCCCGGUAGCUCAAGCGGAAGAGCGAGGAGACCUUGUCAGAGAAAAGGACUAUGGUAUCUCUGUGACGCUGGUUCGAGUCCAGCCCGGGCGG